rnacentral:rRNA from 1 species
GGAGGAUCAUUAUCGUAGGGCUUCGGCCCUGUCGAGAUAGAACCCUUGCCUUUUUGAGUACCUUUCGUUUCCUCGGCAGGCUCGCCUGCCAAUGGGGACCACAAAAAACACUUUGCAGUACCUGUAACAGUCUGAACAAACAAAACAAAAAUUAAAACUUUCAACAACGGAUCUCUUGGUUCUGGCAUCGAUGAAGAACGCAGCGAAAUGCGAUAAGUAGUGUGAAUUGCAGAAUUCAGUGAAUCAUCGAAUCUUUGAACGCACAUUGCGCCCUUUGGUAUUCCUUAGGGCAUGCCUGUUCGAGCGUCAUUUAAACCUUCAAGCUAAGCUUGGUGUUGGGUGACUGUCCGCUUCACUGCGGACUCGCCUCAAAAUUAUUGGCGGCCGGUACAUUGGCUUCGAGCGCAGCAGAAACGCGAACUCGGGCCCGUCGUAUUGGCUCCCAGAAGCUAUCUUCACAAUUAUGACCUCGGAUCAGGUAGGGAUACCCGCUGAACUUAAGCAUAUCAAUAAGCGGAGGA